rnacentral:rRNA from 1 species
GGCUCAGAUUGAACGCUGGCGGCAUGCCUUACACAUGCAAGUCGAACGGCAGCACGGGAGCAAUCCUGGUGGCGAGUGGCGAACGGGUGAGUAAUGUAUCGGAACGUACCUUUCAGUGGGGGAUAACGUAGCGAAAGUUACGCUAAUACCGCAUAUUCUGUGUGCAGGAAAGCAGGGGAUCGCAAGACCUUGCGCUGAUUGAGCGGCCGAUAUCAGAUUAGCUAGUUGGUGAGGUAAAGGCUCACCAAGGCGACGAUCUGUAGCGGGUCUGAGAGGAUGAUCCGCCACACUGGAACUGAGACACGGUCCAGACUCCUACGGGAGGCAGCAGUGGGGAAUUUUGGACAAUGGGGGCAACCCUGAUCCAGCCAUGCCGCGUGAGUGAAGAAGGCCUUCGGGUUGUAAAGCUCUUUCGGCCGGGAAGAAAUCGCAUGGGUUAAUACCCUGUGCGGAUGACGGUACCGGCAUAAGAAGCACCGGCUAACUACGUG